GCCAUUCAGAUCUAGAGAGGAAAAAACAGUUUCUGCUUCGAGCCUUCAAAUACAAAGACGUAAAAACUGCAAAGGGUUGUGUUUCCUGAAGAGGCAAAAGCCGAGAGGAGAUUCUGAGGCCAAUAAAGACCCAUGUCUGGGGAUUAUGUUCAGGGCACGGAUGUUUAUGGACGCGUCCUAUUUCCCUGUCUCCACUCAUGACUAAUUGAAGGCCUGAUUCUCAUCCACCUCUGCACAGCUGUCCUAUGUACAAACCUCUCUUGGACAGGAACGAGAGGACCUGAAGCGGAGGCGUGGCAAAACAGAAGAACACUGGGCUUUGCAAAGAAAACCACACACCCUUGGAAGGUGGGGGACAUUUUUUAAACCUGUUUUCUGAAGGAUGCAUCUGCUGUUAAAGACAGUGUGUCUGUCUAGUCAGCACCCUUGACAGAAUUUUAAGAAUAAAAAGAUAUACACAAAGAAAAAGCUAAAAGCAAA